UACGGAGGGUGCAAGCGUUAUCCGGAUUCACUGGGUUUAAAGGGUGCGUAGGUGGGCAGGUAAGUCAGUGGUGAAAUCUCCGGGCUUAACCCGGAAACUGCCAUUGAUACUAUCUGUCUUGAAUACCGUGGAGGUGAGCGGAAUAUGUCAUGUAGCGGUGAAAUGCUUAGAUAUGACAUAGAACACCAAUUGCGAAGGCAGCUCACUACGCGAAUAUUGACACUGAGGCACGAAAGCGUGGGGAUCGAAACAGG
rnacentral:rRNA from 1 species